rnacentral:rRNA from 1 species
GACGAACGCUGGCGGCGUGCUUAACACAUGCAAGUCGAACGGAAAGGCCCUGCGUUUGUGGGGUGCUGGAGUGGCGAACGGGUGAGUAACACGUGAGUAACCUGCCCUUGACUUUGGGAUAACUUCAGGAAACUGGGGCUAAUACCGGAUAGGAGCUCCUGCUGCAUUGUGGGGGUUGGAAAGUUUCGGCGGUUGGGGAUGGACGCGCGGCUUAUGAGCUUGUUGGUGGGGUAGUGGCUUACCAAGGCUGUGACGGGUAGCCCGCCUGAGAGGGUGACCGGCCACCAUGCGCCUGCGAUACGGCCCAGACUCCUACGGGAGGCAGCAGUGGGGAAUCUUGCACAAUGGGCGCAAGCCUGAUGCAGAAACGCCGCGUGCGGGAUGACGGCCUUCGGGUUGAAAAAAGCUUUCGCCUGUGACGAAGCGUGAGUGACGGUAAUGGGUAAAGAAGCACCGGCUAACUACGUG